GGGAUAGUCCCCCAACAGGGACGGGGACGGGGAUUCCCCCAAACUUAAUAAAUGGGGAUGGGUUCGAGGACAGGGGCGGGGAUAGGGAUGGUAUUGUCAUACUCGGCCCCUACCCGACCCGUUGCCAUCCCUACUCCCCUUCAUCACUUCUCGUCUUUUUCUUUUAGGUUAGUGAACAAGUCUACUCGGGCGUUUUGAAUAAAAAAAUCACUUGUGGUGAUUUGUUCUUAGGCAUGCUUAGAUUGAAGUUUCC
rnacentral:lncRNA from 1 species